AUAAGUCUAGGUUUAGGUUAUAGGUUAAGGUUUAGGUUUAGGUUUAGGUUAUAGGUAUAGGUUUAGAUUAUAAGUAUAGGUUAUAGGUUAAGGUUAUGGUCUAGGCUUAGGUUAAGGUUAUAAGUCUAGGUUUAGGUUAUAGGUUAAGGUUUAGGUUUAGGUUAUAGGUAUAAGUUUAGGUUAUAGGUUAUAAGUUAAGGUCUAGGUUUAGGUUAUAGGUUAAGGUUUUGGGAUUUAAGAAUAGGUUUAGGUUAAGGUUAUAA